UUCAGGUGUUGAAGGAAGGAGCAGCACUGUCCCAAGAUGGCGGUCACGCAGUGUCCCAAGAUGGCGGCCACGUCCUCUGGUCCUGCUCAACUCCAUGUACGCAGUGUCCGGAAAAAUAGUAAUCCAAAGGGAAAGGUCAGUAUUCGGGGCAUCCUGCCAGGUGUUUCUGAAGCAGCCGACCAGUGCAGUGAAUGUAAUUAUGGCGCUAUGGCGAUCUGAUAACCUGCCAGUCUGUCUCUCAACACUAGAAACGUGCAGCGGCAUAUUAAAUGGUC
rnacentral:lncRNA from 1 species